UACGUAGGGUGCAAGCGUUUGUUCGGAAUUACUGGGCGUAAAGGGCGCGUAGGCGGGCCUGUAUGUCGAUUUGUGAAAGCCCUGGGCUUAACCUGGGAAUGGCAGUCGAAACUGCAGGUCUUGAGUGCCUGAGAGGAUGGCGGAAUUCCAGGUGUAGCGGUGAAAUGCGUAGAUAUCUGGAGGAAUACCGGUGGCGAAGGCGGCAUCCUGGACCGGCAUUGACGCUGAGGAG
rnacentral:rRNA from 1 species